ensembl:lncRNA
CGGGCGGCAGGAGGGCACAGGGCAGCCGCGGGGACCCCGUGCCCGGCAUCCCGAGGCCGGCAGGGCGGGGACUGCCCCUUUGCCCACCGCUCCUUUGCAUCCUCAGAGCCAAGGCGGGGAGAUGGAACCGAUCUCAGUGCGGGCAGCGGAUCCACGCAGCUUUUCGCAGCGGAGAUAACGAAUAUUUCCAGGCGCUGACCUCCAGGGGGAAGCCCCAGACGGUACAGCUCCUGUGCCAAUUUGGAGAAGCCCCUCUGAGCGCUUGGCCGUGGCCGCAGACCUCGGCUCACUGUUGCAGGGCACUCCCCGGGCACCUGUGCCAGGAUCUGCCCUUCCUCAGCCGCUCCGGGCUGUGACCUACCGGGCGGACACCCGCAGUGUAUUUGGGGACGGGACGAGGGAAGCUACAGGCCGGGGGAAGGGGGAGGGGGGUGCAUCCCAUCUGCAGCCCGCCCGGCCUCCCUCUCUCCAUCCCGGUCUCAUUAACCCGCGGGUGAGGGAACUGUUUGUGUGCCUUCGUUCCCUUCCCAGGGCUGCUUUUUCCCUGUUACUGAUCCAUCGCUCGUAAAUCAUUUAUAGGAACCGGGCGCUUCUCUCCUCGCAGGAGCUUCCCUUGAAAAACUUUCCCAUCUUCAGAAUCCCAGAACAUGUUGUGCUUGGACUGAGUCUGCAGAUUACAUACAGAUAACCUGUGUUUCACAGAUCACCGUCUGAAAAACACUGGUUUUGGAAAAUAUAAGCCAACGCCUCAUGACUGCCUUCUGUGGAACUGCCUGCACUUAGACUGCUUCAGCAUUGUCCACUUGGGGACUUGUGAUUCAGGUCCAUGUACUAAAUCGGCAGCAGCUGAGGCAGGAGGGGCUGAAGCAGGGGCUGAGGAGAAGUGGCACUCCUCUUGCUCUAAGCAUGUCUUCCUAACUGGAAGCAAGUGGAGACCUGAUCAGAUGAAAGCCACUAAUACUUGAGAUCUGUCACUGAUCAUUCCUGAUGUAAUCAUAGCAAAAUGAUCCAGUGUAACUAAAAAUAAUAAUAAUAAUAAAAAGAGGAUAAGCAGUUUCUGAAGUAUCAGAUCCCAGAGAGGUAGCCCAUUUUAUACAUAGCUUAGCCUUUUGUCUUCUUGUACAAUUACUGAAAUGACUUAGAACGCAGAGUUGUGAUUAUUGUGAUUUUGUGAUUCCUUCUGCAAUUCAUGGAACACAACCACGUUCAGAAGAUGUUGAUUAAUUAAUCUCCACUAUGUUCAUAUUUUUUUAUACAGUACAAGCCAAUUUUAAUUUCUGAAGAAAUGCAAAAGAAUGACAUUUUAAUAAAUUUAAAACUGAAACUUAAUAUAACUAUAGAUCUAAAAUUCCAUGUGUACAUUUUCAGUAAGAAUCAUGUCAUACAGUCUUCCAUAAGUGUAGCCUCAUUGCAGCAUAGGCAUUUUAAUAUUACAGAUGAUGAACCUUAAGUUGCCAUUUAUUUACAUAAAUCUAAGAGCUUAAUAAAAGAAGUGUAAUAGCAAACAUCACUUAAGAUUGCUAAGAGACAACACAUUUACCUAUUAAAUCAUUUGUAAAAUUCAGUCACUUAUCUGAGGAAAUACGUCAAGGUCACCAUAAAAAUAAGCACACUCCAUAAAUCAUAUCACAGUAUAUAAAAUAAUACUUGUCAAUUUUCAGUGCAUUUUUCUCAUACAGAUUUGUACAAAU